rnacentral:rRNA from 1 species
CCUACGGGAGGCAGCAGUGGGGAAUCUUGCGCAAUGGGCGAAAGCCUGACGCAGCCAUGCCGCGUGAAUGAUGAAGGUCUUAGGAUUGUAAAAUUCUUUCAGUAGGGACGAUAAUGACGGUACCUACAGAAGAAGCCCCGGCUAACUUCGUGCCAGCAGCCGCGGUAAUACGAAGGGGGCUAGCGUUGCUCGGAAUUACUGGGCGUAAAGGGAGCGUAGGCGGGUUAUCAAGUUGGAGGUGAAAGCCCAGGGCUCAACCUUGGAAUUGCCUUCAAAACUGAUAGCCUAGAGUAUGAUAGAGGUAUGUGGAACUCCGAGUGUAGAGGUGAAAUUCGUAGAUAUUCGGAAGAACACCAGUGGCGAAGGCGACAUACUGGGUCAUGACUGACGCUGAGGCUCGAAAGCGUGGGGAGCAAACAGGAUUAGGAUACCCUGGUAAGUCCAGCUGUAAACGAUGAUUGCUAAGUUGCGAAGGC